UUCUGAAGAAGCGCAGAAAGAGUCCGAAUUGCAACUCUCGCAAAGAGUGUGGUCGACACAUUUUUUAUCUUUGCAGCAUUCGCCUCUUCCACCACAAUCACCGUCUGUGAUACAAUGCUGACCAAUACAGUCAUAAGGACGACAUUUUCUAUCGCUCAACUGGGAAAUUCCUUUACAACAAACAACAAGAAAUUCCCGAAAACUUCUCUUGCAGUCUGAAUUUGUGAAACAUUCAUCUGUCGCCACAGCUACAUGGACUACAGCGAUUGAUAUUAUACUGCCACAUAGAAGAAAAAAUAGAGGUUUUAUAAAUGCCGCCAGAAAAAUACCGCUAAAGUAUUUCGCUCGGGCAAUUAUACAAAAGAAGCGAAUUGUGUUCAUAGACCAAAGAUGGCAACGAGAGGGCCAACAAGAUGGGAUGUCUCGAAAAAUUGCGAGAAAUUUUGAGAUGAGGUUAUAUGUGUCGAACGAAAAGUUGGAAACGUUUUGUGAAUCAGGUUCGUAUUCAAUUAAAUGAAAAUCUGCGAGACCAAGCACUACUCCUGCAAACUGGAAAAUGGAAAGAAAGCAGAAGGAAAACCAGGUUCAAAGCGAUCGAAUCCUUCUUUUAAAGCGCAGUUUCUGCUGUUCCUCUUGAAAGUCUUUCUCACGUUAUUGCUGAGGGUGGUAAUGCUACAGUGUUGUGAAAUAAUAUCUACUGGUGGUGAUAUUCCAACAAGUCCUCUACCAUCAGAGUUCUUUAUCACUGGGAUAAAAAAUGCGUUGGAACGUGUUCGUCACUUUCAGGAUGUAUUUCAGGACGAUAUUUCACCUGAACGUGGAUACCCCGCUCUCGCCUCCGCGAUGCCGUAUUAUCGUGUGCUUUUUAGAUUGCUAGCGUUAGAAUUAUCGAACAGUUAAAUAACGGAACAACUUUCGCUGUGUAGCGGUAUUUCUGACGUUUCGUGAACUAAGCGUGUAAUUGCAUGUGGUUCGCUCUUAGUGUCCUUACUGUGGCAUGGCAAACGAGCUAACAUUAGGUAGGAAGGACUUGUGUUUCAAUUUUAAACAAAAGCGGUGAGCCCCUGAAUUUUCGAUUUUGGUGCAUAGUGAGGACGCGCGUCGACAUCGAUUAGAAUCACAGGGAAUGCUCGUAUUAAAACAGAA